rnacentral:lncRNA from 1 species
CUGGCCGGCGGGAGGCUCAGAUUGAGGGGCUUGAGGGGCGCCAGUGACUUGUUGGUACCUGGCCAAGGCCGGGGAUGGGGUCAGGACCCCUGAACUGGGCUCAGUUUGAAUGCUGUCUGACCUCCAUACUGGGGAAAGACACUGAAGCCUGAAGCAGGAGGUGACCUUGGGAGGAAAAAGGGCAGUGGCCACGCAUCCUGAUGUUCAGCGUCUUCUUCCUCCAAGGCUCCCCUCAGAUGCCACUCACUUUGUCCUGUCGGCCCUUUUUUUGUCCUUCCCUGUAUGAGCCUCAUUCUCUUUCUCCAUCCUUCCUUCUCUGCCUCUGGCUGGCUGAUCUCUCUCCCUUUUUCGCUGUGUCUGUCUGUCUGUCUGUCUCCUCACUCCUUCUUCCUUUCUGGCUCCUCCCUCUCCAUCUCUGUUUCCUUCUGCUUCCCUCUUGUUUGCCUGCCUGCUUUUUUGUCUGUCUGUGUCUAUCUCCUUAUUUUCUCCUCCUUUCUGUCUCUGUCUGGCUCCUCCCUCUCUGUCUGUCUGUCUGUCUCCUUCCUCUUUGCCCCUCUCACCUGCCUGCUUUUUUCUCCAUCUUAUUUUCUCUUCCUUUCUGUCUCUGCCUGGCUCCUCCCUCUCCUUCUCUGUCUGAUUUCCCUUCCCUUCUUUAUUUUUGUUUGCCUUCCUGCCUUAUCCUCUUGUCUGUCUCCUUAUUCUUUCUUCUUUCUGCCUCUGUCUCUGUCUGACUCCUCCCUCUCCUUCUCUUUCUGUUUUCCCUUCCCUUCUUUAUUUUUGUUUGCCUUCCUGCCUUAUCCUCUUGUCUGGCUGGCUGGCUAUCUCCUUAUUUUCUCCUCCUUUCUGUCUCCGUCUGACUCCUCCCUCUCUGUCUGUCUGUCUGUCUGUCUGUCUCCUUCCUCCCCCCCCCCCCCCCAGACAGACUGCGUCUUUCUCCUUGGCUUAUUUUCUCUCCCCUUUUGUCUCUGCCUGGCUCCUCCCCCUUCUUCUCUAUGUGUUUCCCCCUCCCUCCUUUCCUCUUGUUUGCCUGCCUUUCUGUCUGUCUGUCUGCUUGCCUGCCUGCCUAUCUGUCUCCUCAGCAUCCAUCUGUCUGCCUGCCUCUUCCCUUUCUGUCUCUGCCUGUUUCCUCCCUGUCCAUCCCUCCCUCCCUCCCUCCCUCCCUCCCUCGCUCCCUCCCUGUCUGGCUUUUUCCUUUCUCUUCUCCCCUCUCUGCUUGCCUGCAGUCUCCGUGCU